CCUCCCGCCCGCAGCCGCUCCCCGCCCUGCGCGCCGGCCUGGGGGCCCUGGCCCGGAGUCCCGCCGAGAGAGCGCGAGUCAGAUGCGGGGCCGGGGCUCUCAGCAGCUCUGCCCGGGACCCCACACCGCCUCCCUCCCUCCUGUACGCACGGCCGCACCGCGGCUCUCGGGCCCGGGGCGGGUGCUAGGUGAGAGGGAAGCAGGUCCUGACAGCGAGACAAACUCGCGCCUCGUGCUUUGUAAAACGAGAAAUUUGAAGUGCUGUGCCAAGUCAGCCCUCUGAGGUCGGCUCCGACUUCCCAUUUGCUUUUUGUAAUCGGUAAUGAUGUUUAAAAGGUGCUUUCGAACGAUCUCAUUUGAUGCUGAGGCAACCGGGACGUUUAGUCCCAUUUUACAGAUGAAGUAACUGAGUCUGCUCAGUAGGUGAGAAGACUUGCCCGACGCUACACCACUCGUCAGCAUCUGGACCACUGCCCGGGCCCAGUGCUGCAGAACCCCAUCCUGGAACUUUUAUAAUGCUAAUGAGACCAUCACUCAGGUUAUAACUGAACUUCAAGGCCUUCCUAGAAAUCUUUCCUCCAGGCUGGAGUUCAUGAAGGAGAAAAGGGUUGAAAAGUC
rnacentral:lncRNA from 1 species